UCUCCGUAGGUGAACCUGCGGAGGGAUCAUUACCGAGUGAGCGCUCCGGCGCGACCUCCAACCCCAUGUUUUCCGACUCUGUUGCCUCGGGGGCGACCCUGCCGCUUCGGCGGUGCGGCGCCCCCGGAGGCCAUUAAACACUGCAUCAUUGCGUCGGAGUUAAAGUAAAUUAAACAAAACUUUCAACAACGGAUCUCUUGGUUCCAGCAUCGAUGAAGAACGCAGC
rnacentral:misc_RNA from 1 species